UGAGUACGGGAUGCUACGGCAUCGAAGCAGUCUAUGUCAUACUUCCAAGAAAAGCUUGCACUGUCAUAAACAAAGAAUGCCUGUACCAUAACCGACACAGGUGGGUAGGUAGAGUAUACUAAGGGGCGCGAGAUAACUCUCUCUAAGGAACUCGGCAAAAUGACUCCGUAACUUCGGGAGAAGGAGUGCCUUAUUUCUAAGGUUGCAAUAACAAGAUCCAAGCAACUGUUUACCAAAAACACAGGUCUCCGCUAAGUCGUAAGACGAUGUAUGGGGGCUGACGCCUGCCCAGUGCCAGAAGGUUAAAGAAGUUGGUUAGCAUUAGCGAAGCUGAUAACUGAAGCCCUGGUGAACGGCGGCCGUAACUAUAACGGUCCUAAGGUAGCGAAAUUCCUUGUCGGGUAAGUUCCGACCCGCACGAAAGGCGUAAUGAUUUGGAUACUGUCUCGGAGAGGGGCUCGGUGAAAUAGACUUGUCUGUGAAGAUGCGGACUACCUGCACCUGGACAGAAAGACCCUAUGAAGCUUUACUGUAACUUGGGAUUGAAAUUGGACUUUAUUUGCGCAGUAUAGGUGGGAGGCGUUGAGAAUAAUCUUGCGGGGUUGUUGGAGCCAUCAGUGAGAUACCACUCUUGUAAUGUUAGAUUUCUAACUUUGUAUCAUUAUCUGGUCAAAGAACAGUUUCAGGCGGGCAGUUUGACUGGGGCGGUCGCCUCCCAAAGGGUAACGGAGGCGCACAAAGGUUUCCUCUGAACGGGUAGAAAUCGUAUCUAGAGUGUAAAGGCAUAAGGAAGCUUGACUGUGAGACCUACAAGUCGAGCAGGGACGAAAGUCGGUCUUAGUGAUCUGACGGUGCUGAGUGGAAAGGCCGUCACUCAACGGAUAAAAGUUACACUAGGAUAACAGGCUGAUCUCCCCCAAGAGUUCACAUCGACGGGGAGGUUUGGCACCUCGAUGUCGGCUCAUCGCAUCCUGGGGCGGUAGUCCGUCCCAAGGGUUGGGCUGUUCGCCCAUGAAAGCGGUACGCGAGCUGGGUUCAGAACGUCGUGAGACAGUUCGGUCCAUAUCCGGUGUAGGCGUUAGAAUAUUGAGAGGAGUCUUCUCUAGUACGAGAGGACCGAGAAGGACAUACCUCUGGUGUGCCAGUUAUCGUGCCAACGGUAAACGCUGGGUAGCUAUGUAUGGAGUGGAUAACCGCUGAAAGCAUCUAAGUGGGAAGCCCACCUCAAGAUAAGUAUUCUCAC
rnacentral:rRNA from 1 species